UACAGAGGGGGCAAGCGUUGUUCGGAAUUACUGGGCGUAAAGGGCUCGUAGGUGGCCAACUAAGUCAGACGUGAAAUCCCUCGGCUUAACCGGGGAACUGCGUCUGAUACUGGAUGGCUUGAGUUCGGGAGAGGGAUGCGGAAUUCCAGGUGUAGCGGUGAAAUGCGUAGAUAUCUGGAGGAACACCGGUGGCGAAGGCGGCAUCCUGGACCGGCAUUGACGCUGAGGCGCGAAAGCCAGGGGAGCAAACGGG
rnacentral:rRNA from 1 species